GAAUCGCUUGAACCCAUGAGGUGGAGGUUGCAGUGAGCCAAGAUCGUGCCACUGCACUCUAGCCUGGGCGACAGAGUGAGACU
ensembl:miRNA